rnacentral:sRNA from 1 species
AGCGCCUGCGGCGGACCCGGCUCGGAAUAUCACAAAUGCUUCGCAGGCAGCGUUUCCGCGUACGGUCUUGUAUAAUUCCAUAAUUAAUGGAAUUUAACGUCUUCU